UUCAGUUUACAUGAUAAAUGUGCCUUAAUUGACAUUUGGAUUAAGAUAUUAUUAAAUAUUAAUACGGGGACAACGGCAUAACCUCUUUGCCAUGGUAGUCAUUCGACAAAAAUGAGUUGCUGCUUCAAAUCAAAUGAAACCAAACCAAACACCUCUAAUUACCAUGAUAUGUGCAUGUCUAUUUUUCAACUUUAGUCUCAGUGCAGAAGCAAGGGUUUUAUCUAAGUCCAGACAAUUAUCUGUGGAUCCCUGUAACUUCAAGUGUCUCAUAGAUAGUAGCCCUCCACACAUACAUACACACACGCACGCACGCACAUGCAAAUCCCUGACAACUUUUAAAGGAGUUGAAUUUCCCCUAUGCGUGUAAGGUGAUAGCAGACCCCUUUCACACUCUGCUUGCCUUAUACAUGAUCAGAUCACAUUCUAGAACUGGAUUCUAGAAGGCACAGUUCAGUUUAAUGGUUGCUCUGAUUACUAAUUCUUUCACGUCUGUCUGCUCUCCUUAACUACAUCAGAACUGUAUUUGUCAGGAACUGUGUUUUAAACCUUGUUUGUACUCUCUAGGACAAGAGGCUUUCCAAUUCUUCCUGGUCUCACAUUAAUUCUCUCAGAUCCUUUGAAGAAGUAACAGCUCUUAUUAUCCCUACUUUAGAGAUGAGUAAACUACCACUCAGAGAGAGUGAAGGAUUCAGCUGAAGUCAUAUAGCUCCGUGGAUCUUCAGGCGAAUGUAGAGUUAUUGCAAAAAGUCUGUACAGAGAUGUCAAGUGCUUAAUGUUUUUGGACUAACUAAAUAAUGGUUUAGAAGUAUAUGUACCUCUAUUUAUGUUAUAAUAUAUGUUAUGUUAUGGUCAUUUAUAGUAAUUAACUCAUUCAUUGAUUAAUAUAAAUUUUAAAAUGUUAUUGAAUUCAAAACAGCUUUUAUUUUGUAUUUUUCUAACUUAUUAGUAAUGUGCAAAAUGGGAUUUUUUUUUAAACUUACAAGAAGUUCUUGAACUGAGAAGUCUGGAAUCCAUUGAAGUAAACCAAAGCUAGGGCUCACUAAUAAAUUACAGAGGGUGUUUUGAAGAAUCUAGUUUUCUAGUUGCAAAGAAAAUUUUCAUUUUUCAAUUGCUACCUAUAGUAGGUUUGCAUGUGUGAUCAAAGCCUAGAAAACGCCUGGAAGUACUGAUCACUAUUGUUUAAUUUCUUCCUUCAUCUAACAACUAUCUCCCCCAAAACUUCUAAUUCUUACCUUUAUUAUCUAAGUGACCUUGGACAAUUUGCUCAACUUAUUUGUGUCUUAGUUUUCUCAUUGAUAAGGAGAAUCGUAGCACCUACCUUAUAGAGUGCUGUGAUGGUCACAUGAGUUAAUGCAUGUGAUAUCUUUAGCACAUCCUUGUCACAUAGGAAAUACUCAGCAGAUAUUGUUGCUGAAUACUUAAGACUGUUGUUGACACAUAGUUGGGGCUCAAUAGACAUUUUUGGAAUGAAUUAGUGAAUAAAUGAAAAAAUGAAUAGAAAUAAGGACAGUUGUAUAUAUGUAAUUUUUAGUCUACAUUUCUUUGGUCACAGGCAGGCAAUUAGGAGAACUGCUUUUGUGCAGAGGCUACAUUUGGGGAAUAUUCAUUUUGGUGAGCUCAAGCUAGAGAGCUGAUGAUGUUUCUGUGUUUUCUGGCCAAGCAGACUUUACAAGUUUAUCAGCUUUAUCUGCUAGAUGUAUCACAACAUGCAUUUAAAAAAUCAGGUGGGAAAAAUUUGGGUUUGGAACUGAUGUGAAGUACAGGCUUUAUUCCUCAUUAAAAACCAUAAGAGGAAACAAGGCCGUUAGACCCUCUAAAUGGGAGAAGAGAAGCAAUGCUUUCUUGCCACAAACCAAAAUGCUGAGGACCACAGUUAUAAGAAGGUCAAAGGAAGUUAGAAUGACCUUUCGUAGCAGGCUCAAUGUUUAGCUAGCUUAAAAAUUUACUUUCAGAUUAUCCCAGGGAUAGCUAUUUAGUUUACUACAUAAACAGCCUUGCAACCUUAUAGGAACAGUUGUUUUUGCUUUGGUUUUGUUUAGUUUUGGUGUUUGUAUAGUGAGGUUUUGAAAGUAGGAAAAAAGAACGUAUUGCUUGACUUUAAAAGAUGAGCUGUCCUGAGUUUUGGCACUAGCUGACAUGGUUUUUGUUUUGGUUUGGUUUUAACAAAGGCAUUGGCCAAAUGGGCCAAUGAAGAAAUAAUCCGUUUCUCAGGUUCCACUGUCUUUUCUAAUACUAGACAGUAAUCAGAUGACAUGUCACAGCGAUGAUAGUAGCUAGUGCUCCUUGGAACUCCACACUGGGGAGGCUCUGUGCUGAUGCGCGGACAUGGAAGGAAGACCCAUUUUCUGCCUUCCAGAACUUUCCAGGCAUGGUUAUAAUAAGGGACAUUAAUAUGCUUCCCUAUUACCUACAUUCACUGGCCCUGUGUCUACCUACUGGUAUCAAAUGAAGCAAAUCAAGUUCUUUUAAGUGUCAGCUCUUUGAAGCAUUUAAACAUAAGCCAUCAAGAACCCAGGUGUCAAACACACUUCCUUAUUAACAUACUAGGGAAUGCCAGCCAUCUCAGUAAGUUAUAGUUUUAUGUCUCUUCACCAGUAGGUCACAGUGCUUUUGCACACUCUCUAAUUUGUCUCUGUCCAUAAGGUUUGACCCACUCCUCCACCACCACCAUCCGAGUGGUUUUGGCCAGUACAGAGUAGAGCUGGGCUCUCUGGGCCCAAUAUACAGGGUCACAGCAACUUCUGGAAUUCUCCCUCAAAAUGCCCAGGUGAAGGGGUCUGGAGUAACUAAAUAAGAAACUUGAAAUAAAAUGAUUGAUUUUCUUUAUUAUUUUUUUAGAUCCUCACCCCUAAUCCUGUCUCAGGCCUUCUUCCUUUCUCUGUAGAACUUUUAGACUAUCUUCUUACCAGUGUUUUUAGGGAAACCAAAUACUAGUAUAAUUGCCAUUUAUUAAGUGUCCUUUUUCUGGUACCACAUGCUUUAAAUUUCUUAUUUUAUGAAAUCUUAUAAUAACCAGGCAAGCUGGGUUAUUAGUAUUUUUUAUCCCCAUUUUCCAUAGGAGGAAAUUGUGGUUUAGAGGUUGAGCAACUUGCCACAGUUCUAGAAUUCAGACCCGGGGCUGCCUGCCUCCCAAGUUUCUGCUCCUUCUCACACAUCACUCAGUGUCUCUGUGAUAUAUGAAUAACGUACUUGGACAUACUUAGCUCUUUGGUUGGCCAUGCUAGGUGCUCAAUACAUGUUAGUUUCCCUUUUUGUCAUCAUCCUUCCUUUUCUCCCAAAUAAUCACAUGCAACCUAAAAAUGAGGAAGAGGGCUUAGAGUAGCAAAAGUCUGUGCCAGGUUCCCAAGGUGGUCAGAUAACAUGAAUCCUGCAGUGACGUGCCUUUGGCCAGGUACGCCCUUUCCGUGGGGCUGUGGGCCAGCUCUACGUCUGUCAACAUAUGCAAUGCCAACUUGUUUACUAUCAGUGAAUGUCUGGGAGUUCUUUCUAACCAAUCCCUACCCCAAACACUUUCUCCUUAUUUCUUCAAAUAAUUCUAUUCACUCCCUAAACCAUUUCAUUAAAUCCAGUGACUUUUGAGAGUUCCAUAGCAGCUCAGAGCUGGCCCCGUCUUCUUUGGACUCAGGGCCCACAGGUCAGGGAAAGAUGUAGACAGCACAUGCCAUCAGGGAGAAGAGGGUCUUGGGGCAGCCUUCUCUUUGGCUCCUCCUAUCGUUGCUGGGGUUCUUUUUGCUCCUCUGAGAGCUGCGUACUAUGUUACUUACAGCGACUAUCAUGCUCAAGUUCAGUAGUUGUCAACUGGGGGCAGUCCAGUGCUUACAGAGGUAUUUGGAAAUAGGGAGGGUGCUUUCUGGUUAUCACAAUGACUAAGGGGCAUUUUUGGCAUUUAGUGGCUGGGGGUGGGCAGGGAUGUUAAAAUUCUGCAAUUCACACAACAGUCUGGCAUGACAAAAAAUGGACCCCAAAUAGCAAUGCUGUUGCCCCUGUUGAGAAGGCCAGGGCCACCACUAUCUUCUUGCCAUUGUCCCUCCAUGUCCAGCACAGUGCCCGUCCUUCCACAAAAGCUAAGUACAAAUCUCAUGAAUGAAUGCUCUCCUUGGUACCUUGCCAUCUUUCCUCAUGUCUCCUCUUCCCGGGGAGCUGUCCUGCUUGCCUCUCAUUUCUGGAACUGACUUUGAAAGUGGAGGACUUAUUCAGCUCCAUCUCAUCUGUUUUCCAUUCCUCUUUCCUUCCCUUAUUCUGAAAAUUUUCAAAAUUGACCUUCUAAAUUGAUGAAUUAUGAUUUACCUUUUGAGUAAAAUUCAAAGACAUGGCUUUCUAGGGUAAUUUUAGGUAGCAGCAUUUGUCUCCACAGUAGAUGUAAACACUCUAAAAAGGUAUUCUGUUGAUGGUCUAAUUGAUUAGGUUUUUAAAUGAUUAAGUGAUUUGGCCAAAGCAGCAACAGUGGCCCUGCUGACUUCCCUUCUCUGACCCUUGAAGCUACCCUUGAAGCCUGGAACUGGUGGAGGAAGGGAGGGGUGUCUUAAGGAGCCAGCAAGGAAGAAGCUCAAGCUCAAGCUGUGCCCUCUUCAUCAUUCCUGCUGGAGUGUCAGGAAAGCCGGUACUAAGCAAAUCAAGGACUGCAGCUCCCUCCAGACAGAUAACCUGCUAGAAGAGGGUCAGAAACGUGUCCCCAUGAGAUGCCUGUAUCCUGAUCCCAGUUAAGUGAUAGCAACGUGAUGCUGCACUGUGGAGCAUUAUCUGUGGUUGGAAAUUUUCAGAGGUUGUGGGUUUUACUUUCUGGCUCAUUCCCUUGAGAAGACCCUUAGCUCCUUUCUCUUUUGUAAAUUUCACAGAGAAGGUUCUCUUCCCAUCAUGGGAAUUCCCAACUCUGCUCCAUUCAGGGGUUCUCCCAUUUUCUUAAAGGGUAUUAGGGAAUACUUUUAAAGGUCUUAAAAUAAAGUUCAUUCUCAUCCUUCUCAAAUUGAAAACAACUUUCUGAAGGGUAGCAAAGCUCAGGGCUGGUAAGUGUGGGCUGGGAAAAUCAUGGAGCAGAGAAAUUUAAUAAGGGGGGAAAGAACAACAUUUACUUGUACUUGCCAUGUGCCAUGCACAUUACCUAUUAAGUACAUUCUUUAAUCUGCCUCCAAUUCCAUGAAGAAAUAUAUAAGUCUGGAUGGAUGAGGUUAUGCUCCAGUAACAACCCCUAUAUCUCCCGACUUUAAAAAAA